rnacentral:rRNA from 1 species
GACGAACGCUGGCGGCGUGCCUAACACAUGCAAGUCGAGCGGAGAUGAUGUGAGGAAGUUUUCGGAUGGAAUCACAUUAUUUUAGCGGCGGACGGGUGAGUAACGCGUGAGCGACCAACCUUGCACAGGGGGAUAACGGACCGAAAGGUUCACUAAUACCGCAUGAGACCACGGUGUUGCAUGACACAGGGGUCAAAGGAGAGAUCCGGUGUAAGACGGGCUCGCGUCCGAUUAGGUAGUUGGUGGGGUAACGGCUCACCAAGCCUAUGAUCGGUAGCCGACCUGAGAGAGUGAUCGGCCACAUUGGAACUGAGAUACGGUCCAAACUCCUACGGGAGGCAGCAGUGGGGAAUAUUGGGCGAUGGGGGAAACCCUGGCCCAGCAACGCCGCGUGAAGGAAGAAGGUUUUCGGAUUGUAAACUUCUGUCCUUGGUGAAGAGAAGAAGACGGUAGCCAAGGAGGAAGCCCCGGCUAACUACGUGCCAGCAGCCGCGGUAACAC